ACCUUGUCUUUAGUUGCCAUCAUUAAGUUGGGCACUCUAAAGAGACUGCCGAUGACAAAUCGGAGGAAGGUGGGGAUGACGUCAAAUCAUCAUGCCCUUUAUGUCCUGGGCUACACACGUGCUACAAUGGUCGGUACAACGAGAAGCAAGUCAGCGAUGGCAAGCUAAUCUCUUAAAGCCAAUCUCAGUUCGGAUUGUAGGCUGCAACUCGACUGCAUGAAGUUGGAAUCGCUAGUAAUCGCUGAUCAGCAGGCACGCGGUCGAAUACGUUCCGGGCCUU
rnacentral:rRNA from 1 species